rnacentral:rRNA from 1 species
UACGUAGGGAGCAAGCGUUGUCCGGAAUCAUUGGGCGUAAAGCGCGCGUAGGCGGCCCCGUAAGUCCGCUGUGAAAGUCAAAGGCUCAACCUUUGAAAGCCGGUGGAUACUGUGGGGCUAGAGUCCGGAAGAGGCGAGUGGAAUUCCUGGUGUAGCGGUGGAAUGCGCAGAUAUCAGGAAGAACACCCGUGGCGAAGGCGGCACUCUGGGACGGUACUGACGCUGAGACGCGAAAGCGUGGGGAGCGAACAGG